rnacentral:rRNA from 1 species
CGCGGCCUAUCAGCUUGUUGGUGGGGUAAUGGCCUACCAAGGCGACGACGGGUAGCCGACCUGAGAGGGUGACCGGCCACACUGGGACUGAGACACGGCCCAGACUCCUACGGGAGGCAGCAGUGGGGAAUAUUGCACAAUGGGCGAAAGCCUGAUGCAGCGACGCCGCGUGAGGGACGACGGCCUUCGGGUUGUAAACCUCUUUCAGCAGGGACGAAGCGCAAGUGACGGUACCUGCAGAAGAAGCACCGGCUAACUACGUGCCAGCAGCCGCGGUAAUACGUAGGGUGCAAGCGUUGUCCGGAAUUACUGGGCGUAAAGAGUUCGUAGGCGGUUUGUCACGUCGUUUGUGAAAACUCACAGCUCAACUGUGAGCCUGCAGGCGAUACGGGCAGACUUGAGUACUGCAGGGGAGACUGGAAUUCCUGGUGUAGCGGUGAAAUGCGCAGAUAUCAGGAGGAACACCGGUGGCGAAGGCGGGUCUCUGGGCAGUAACUGACGCUGAGGAACGAAAGCGUGGGUAGCGAACAGGAUUAGAUACCCUGGUAGUCCACGCCGUAAACGGUGGGCGCUAGGUGUGGGUUCCUUCCACGGAAUCCGUGCCGUAGCUAACGCAUUAAGCGCCCCGCCUGGGGAGUACGG